rnacentral:rRNA from 1 species
AAACACCCAGGAGGUUGGCUUAGAAGCAGCCAUACAUUUAAAGAGUGCGUAAUAGCUCACUGGUCGAGAGUCUCUGCGCCGACAAUGUAACGGGGCUAAGUUAUAAACCGAAGCUGUGGAAUUGCGUAAGCAAUUGGUAGGAGAGCGUUCUGUAGGCCGUUGAAGGAGAAGCGUAAGCGACUCUGGAGGUAUCAGAAGUGAGAAUGCAGGAAUAAGUAGCGAGAAAGGGGGCGAGAAUCCCCCUCGCCGGAAGACCAAGGUUUUCAGGGUAAAGCUUGUCUUCCCUGAGUAAGCCGGGACCUAAGCCGAGGCUAAAAUGCGUAGGCGAAUGGAAAACAGAUUAAUAUUUCUGUGCCAGUUAUAUUUUGUGAUGGAGGGACGCAGAAGGGUAUGUGCGCGGGAGAACGGAAGUUCCCGUAAAAGCAUGUAGAGUGGUCUAGUAGGAAAAUCCGCUAGAUUAGACUUGAGGUGUGAUAUAUAGUCGUAAGAUGAAUGCACAAAUCCCACGCUGCCGAGAAAAGCUUCUAACGUUAAGGUAUAACUGCCCGUACCCGAAACCGACACAGGUGGUCAGGAUGAGAAAUCUAAGGCGGACAGGCUAACUCUCGUUAAGGAACUCUGCAAAAUUGCCCCGUAACUUUGGGAGAAGGGGUGCCCCUGGAUGUUAACAGCUACGCGCUGUAAAGCAUUUGGGGGUCGCAGUGAAGAGGCUCAAGCAACUGUUUAACAAAAACACAGGUCUAUGCUAAGCUGUAAGGCGAUGUAUAUGGGCUGACACCUGCCCAGUGCCGGAAGGUUAAGAGGAGGAGUGAGAGCUCCGAAUUGAAGCCCCGGUGAACGGCGGCCGUAACUAUAACGGUCCUAAGGUAGCGAAAUUCCUUGUCGGGUAAGUUCCGACCUGCACGAAUGGUGUAAUGAUUUGAGCGCUGUCUUGACGGGAGGCCUGGUGAAAUUGUACUACCGGUGAAGAUACCGGUUACCUACAGUAGGACGGAAAGACCCCAUGGAGCUUUACUGUAGCUUGGUAUUGGGUUUUGGCAUUGCAUGUAUAGGAUAGUUGGGAAACUAUGAAGAUAUGGCGCUAGCUGUAUUGGAGUUGUCGGUGGAAUACCAACCAUUCAAUGUCGAAAUUCUAAUCUGUGGUUUGUAGCCACGGAAACAGUGCUAGGUGGGCAGUUUGACUGGGGCGGUCGCCUCCGAAAGAGUAACGGAGGCGUUCAAAGGUUCUCUCAGGUUGGAUGGAAAUCAACCGCAGAGUGCAAUGGCAUAAGAGAGCUUAACUGCGAGACUGACGGGUCGAGCAGGUGCGAAAGCAGGACAUAGUGAUCCGGCGAUUCCGAAUGGAAGGGUCGUCGCUCAACGGAUAAAAGCUACCCUGGGGAUAACAGGCUGAUUUUGCCCGAGAGUCCAUAUCGACGGCAAAGUUUGGCACCUCGAUGUCGGCUCAUCGCAUCCUGGGGCUGGAGAAGGUCCCAAGGGUUGGGCUGUUCGCCCAUUAAAGCGGUACGUGAGCUGGGUUCAGAACGUCGUGAGACAGUUCGGUCCCUAUCCACUGUAGGCGUUAGAAUAUUGAGAAGAUCUGUCCUUAGUACGAGAGGACCGGGAUGGACAAACCUCUGAUGUACCAGUUGUCACGCCAGUGGCACAGCUGGGUAGUCACGUUUGGAACGGAUAACCGCUGAAAGCAUCUAAGCGGGAAACCAGCUUCAAGAUAAGUAUUCU